GUGUAGGCGUUUCCGGUGUGGGGAAACAGCUUGCGUAUCGCCGUUACCACAGUAACCUGACGUCAUCAUGGCGACCAAGGCGACUAAGACGACUUUUUAAGACAAGGAGGUGAUCUGCUCCUCAUAAGGCUCAUAUCAGGUGUCUGAAGAAGACAGUUUUCUGAGGAUGUGGGUCAUGAUUGCUGCUGAAGAUCUGAAGGGCAGCAGUGCUCAGGGGAUUCCCAACACUUCCAUCCCUGUUUUCGGUGGACACAACAUCUCUAUUUUAUUUUUAUGUGGUGCUGAGGAUCGAACCGAGGGCCUCGUGCAUGCCAGAUCCCCUACUGCCUCAUAGAAAACCAGAGAGGAGGUAACAUGAGGAGAACAAAUGGACAUUUUCAUCUCAACGUGGCAGAGUAAACAUAUUUCCUUGAGCUCCUGAAGGGAGAGAGCAAUCUUCAUGCUGUGUAUUCUGGAAAUGAUGCUGGAGCAAGACAGACAGAUCUCCCUGGGCAAGCAUUAUAUCCAAACCAGAAACUCUGGAACAUUCUUGACUUGGGGUUUGCCAUACUGUUUGAUACCAGAGGCGCAGUUUCCCAUUGAUUCUGAGGUAGAGCAGACAACAUGGAUGCUGGACCAAAGAUGAGAGUCAAGACACUGGACACCUCCCUGACUGCAGAUUCUUGGGACUUUUAUUGAGAUUGCACUGAAUCUGUAUAUUAAUUUGAGGAGAAGAGACAUCUUAACAAUUCUGAGUCCCAUGAAUACCAUUUGUCUUCCACUUCUUUGAGUCUUCCUUAGUUUUCUUGGCAAUAUUUUAUAGGUGCUUUGUAUAGAGGUUUGAUGAUGGAGGAACAUUGGUGCCACCUGGUGACAGAAUUCUGAACUGCAACUUGAACACCCUUAAGUAGGUAGAUGGGAGGGAGAGGCUGUGGCCCAAGACUACCUACAGAACUUUCUGGAAGUUUUUGUGGAAAGGGGGACAUUCCCAGGAUGCAAGGAUACAGACAGCCUUCAGAUGGAAAGUUCUGAAGAGAAAGCUCUAUGUGAGAGGAAUAAAAAGAUCAUUUAAAGUUC